CCGGCCCCUCAUUAAGCCCAAGCGAAGGCUGUCUGCAGCCAGGAGAGCAGGGACGUCCUGUGCGAACUGUCAGACCACCACAACCACACUCUGGAGGAGGAAUGCCAAUGGGGACCCUGUCUGCAAUGCCUGUGGGCUCUACUACAAGCUUCACAAUAUUAACAGACCCCUGACUAUGAAGAAGGAAGGCAUCCAGACCAGAAACCGAAAAAUGUCUAGCAAAUCCAAAAAGUGCAAAAAAGUGCAUGACUCACUGGAGGACUUCCCCAAGAACAGCUCGUUUAACCCGGCCGCCCUCUCCAGACACAUGUCCUCCCUGAGCCACAUCUCGCCCUUCAGCCACUCCAGCCACAUGCUGACCACGCCCACGCCGAUGCACCCGCCAUCCAGCCUGUCCUUUGGACCACACCACCCCUCCAGCAUGGUCACCGCCAUGGGUUAGAGCCCUGCUCGAUGCUCACAGGGCCCCCAGCGAGAGUCCCUGCAGUCCCUUUCGACUUGCAUUUUUGCAGGAGCAGUAUCAUGAAGCCUAAACGCGAUGGAUAUAUGUUUUUGAAGGCAGAAAGCAAAAUUAUGUUUGCCACUUUGCAAAGGAGCUCACUGUGGUGUCUGUGUUCCAACCACUGAAUCUGGACCCCAUCUGUGAAUAAGCCAUUCUGACUCAUAUCCCCUAUUUAACAGGGUCUCUAGUGCUGUGAAAAAAAAAAUGCUGAACAUUGCAUAUAACUUAUAUUGUAAGAAAUACUGUACAAUGACUUUAUUGCAUCUGGGUAGCUGUAAGGCAUGAAGGAUGCCAAGAAGUUUAAGGAAUAUGGGAGAAAUAGUGUGGAAAUUAAGAAGAAACUAGGUCUGAUAUUCAAAUGGACAAACUGCCAGUUUUGUUUCCUUUCACUGGCCACAGUUGUUUGAUGCAUUAAAAGAAAAU
rnacentral:lncRNA from 1 species